CCAAUAGCGUAUAUUAAAGUUGUUGCAGUUAAAAAGCUCGUAGUUGAAUUUCGGGACUAAUAUGUUGGUCGUGCUUUUGUACGUACUGGCAUUAUUGGUUUCUACCUUCUGAAGAACCGCGAUGUCAUUAAUUUGGUGUCGUGGGAAAUCAGGACUGUUACUUUGAAAAAAUUAGAGUGUUUAAAGCAGGCUCACGCUUGAAUACAUUAGCAUGGAAUAAUGAAAUAGGACGUUUGAUUCUAUUUUGUUGGUUUCUAGGAUCGACGUAAUGAUUAAUAGGGAUAGUUGGGGUCAUUAGUAUUCAAUUGUCAGAGGUGAAAUUCUUGGAUUUAUUGAAGACUAACUACUGCGAAAGCAUUUGCCAAGGAUGUUUUCAUUAAUCAAGAACGAAAGUUAGGGGAUCGAAGACGAUCAGAUACCGUCGUAGUUUUAACCAUAAACUAUGCCGACUAGGGAUCGGAUGAUGUUAAUUUUUUAAUGACUCAUUCGGCGCCUUACG
rnacentral:rRNA from 1 species